rnacentral:rRNA from 1 species
GAUCCUGGCUCAGGAUGAACGCUAGCUACAGGCUUAACACAUGCAAGUCGAGGGGCAGCAUGAAUUUACUUCGGUAAAUUUGAUGGCGACCGGCGCACGGGUGCGUAACGCGUAUCCAACCUUCCCGUUACUCCGGGAUAGCCUUCCGAAAGGGAGAUUAAUACCGGAUGGUGUUUGAAGUCCGCAUGAAAUUCAAACUAAAGAUUUAUCGGUAACGGAUGGGGAUGCGUACCAUUAGAUAGUAGGCGGGGUAACGGCCCACCUAGUCGACGAUGGUUAGGGGUUCUGAGAGGAAGGUCCCCCACACUGGAACUGAGACACGGUCCAGACUCCUACGGGAGGCAGCAGUGAGGAAUAUUGGUCAAUGGCCGUAAGGCUGAACCAGCCAAGUAGCGUGAAGGAUGAAGGUUCUAUGGAUUGUAAACUUCUUUUAUACGGGAAUAACACCAUCUACGUGUAGAUGUCUGCAUGUACCGUAUGAAUAAGCAUCGGCUAACUCCGUG